rnacentral:rRNA from 1 species
CUGGGUGGAUUAGUGGCGAACGGGUGAGUAACACGUGAGUAACCUGCCCUUAACUCUGGGAUAAGCCUGGGAAACUGGGUCUAAUACCGGAUAGGAGCGUCCACCGCAUGGUGGGUGUUGGAAAGAUUUAUCGGUUUUGGAUGGACUCGCGGCCUAUCAGCUUGUUGGUGAGGUAAUGGCUCACCAAGGCGACGACGGGUAGCCGGCCUGAGAGGGUGACCGGCCACACUGGGACUGAGACACGGCCCAGACUCCUACGGGAGGCAGCAGUGGGGAAUAUUGCACAAUGGGCGCAAGCCUGAUGCAGCGACGCCGCGUGAGGGAUGACGGCCUUCGGGUUGUAAACCUCUUUCAGUAGGGAAGAAGCGAAAGUGACGGUACCUGCAGAAGAAGCACCGGCUAACUACGUGCCAGCAGCCGCGGUAAUACGUAGGGUGCGAGCGUUAUCCGGAAUUAUUGGGCGUAAAGAGCUCGUAGGCGGUUUGUCGCGUCUGUCGUGAAAGUCCGGGGCUUAACCCCGGAUCUGCGGUGGGUACGGGCAGACUAGAGUGCAG